GAACUGGAGUCAGCUGGCUGUGGUGAGGACAAGGAAGAGGCAGUGCCUAGAGGAGCUGCCUACAAGAAACAUCAAGGAGGUGUGGCUGAACAUCAUCUAAAUUAUCAAGAAAUAUGCAUUGGCCCAGAGACUGUACUGCAAUUCUGCAAGCAGGACAAGGGAGGGCUGCCACUGCUGCUACUGUUUCCCUGUUCAACUCUUACGUUAAACUGCAGCAACACAAUUUCCAUGUUGUUUCCCUGCCUCGCCAACUUGAGAAAAUAGGUAAACUGCAUUUAAGAGUAACAGUAACCACAGAAACAUCCUCCUAUGCCUUUCCACUUCCAAAUAUUUUGCUGGUCACCUCUUCCCUGUGGGUUCUCUGAAGCAGAACUUCCCUUUUUGAUCCCUCUGACCAAAUAAUUAUCACCGCCUCGUCCCUCAGCAUUGCUCAAGUGAAAGGCUGCUUCCCACACUUCCCAAAAGCUUCACCAAUGCCAGUGGCUUUGUCACCGCUCUAUUUGCCUGCGGUCCCCGUCAGAACAAGCAUCUGCAGGACCCUACAUCCCACCUGCUCACAACUCUACAAAAGUGCACUCACAUUAUGUGUGCUCUGAAAUGGCAGCAGGGACCCCUAGCUUAUUGCAGAAUCAAUAACUAUCUUCUUGGAUUAUAAGAUACUUAAUUGCACUUCUCAACAGCUUCCCCUCCCAUUCUACUCCCCUUGAUCACAGUUACUUCAAGGCUUUGUUACCUUCUUUUACUUCUUCUCUGCAAUGGCUUCACCUCCAGGAUUUCCCUUCUGAGGUCAAAUCUCAGAUGAGAGGUUUUGUUUUAACCUCCUCUCUUCAUUUCUUUUGUCUUCUCUGUUUAUCAUCCUUAAGAUUUAGGAAGAGUCCCCUAAAAAACAUUCUGUAGAGAAUCUUAGAUUAAAAGUGUGAUACAUAUAAAGCUUAUCUUAAAUUCUCUUUAUUACUUUUUGGGGAAAAAAACCUACCCACAUAUAAUUUGCCUUUUUUUAAUGUGUAGUAACUUCAGUGCUUUAAAUUAUUCACUGUGGAAGUAAUAUUUUAACCAUUGUACCAUACCCUGCAGUAUUUAACAAAUACAGAAUAUGAAUAUAAUGAAA